rnacentral:rRNA from 1 species
UACGGGGGGGGCAAGCGUUGUUCGGAAUUACUGGGCGUAAAGGGCUCGUAGGUGGCCAACUAAGUCAGACGUGAAAUCCCCGGGCUUAACCUGGGAAUGGCGUUUGAAACUACGGAGCUGGAGUGUGGCAGAGGGAGGUAGAAUUCCACGUGUAGCGGUGAAAUGCGUAGAUAUGUGGAGGAAUACCGAUGGCGAAGGCAGCCUCCUGGGCCAACACUGACGCUCAUGCACGAAAGCGUGGGGAGCAAACAGG